ACGCUCGACACCUACGGGGGCAGCAGUCGGGAAUAUUGCGCAAUGGAGGAAACUCUGACGCAGUGACGCCGCGUAUAGGAAGAAGGUUUUCGGAUUGUAAACUAUUGUCGUUAGGGAAGAAAAAGGACAGUACCUAAGGAGGAAGCUCCGGCUAACUACGUGCCAGCAGCCGCGGUAAUCUGAGCGGGCUGGCAAGGC
rnacentral:rRNA from 1 species